AACGAACGCUGGCGGCAUGCCUAACACAUGCAAGUCGAACGAGACCUUCGGGUCUAGUGGCGCACGGGUGCGUAACGCGUGGGAACCUGCCCUUAGGUUCGGAAUAACUCCCCGAAAGGGGUGCUAAUACCGGAUAAUGUCUUCGGACCAAAGAUUUAUCGCCUUUGGAUGGGCCCGCGUUGGAUUAGCUAGUUGGUAGGGUAAAAGCCUACCAAGGCGACGAUCCAUAGCUGGUCUGAGAGGAUGAUCAGCCACACUGGGACUGAGACACGGCCCGGACUACUACGGGAGGCAGCAGUGGGGAAUAUUGGACAGUGGGCGAAAGCCUGAUCCAGCAAUGCCGCGUGAGUGAUGAAGGCCUUAGGGUUGUAAAGCUCUUUUACCCGGGAUGAUAAUGACAGUACCGGGAGAAUAAGCUCCGGCUAACUCCGUG
rnacentral:rRNA from 1 species